GACGAACGCUGGCGGCGUGCUUAACACAUGCAAGUCGAACGGUGAAGCGCCUUCCUUUUUGGUGGGUGUGGAUGAGUGGCGAACGGGUGAGAACACGUGAGUAACCUGCCCCCUUCUUCUGGAUAACCGCAUGAAAGUGUGGCUAAUACGGGAUAUUCUGGGUCUGUCGCAUGAUGGGUCUGGGAAAGAUAUUGUUUCGGUGGGGGAUGGGCUCGCGGCCUAUCAGCUUGUUGGUGGGGUGAUGGCCUACCAAGGCGGUGACGGGUAGCCGGCCUGAGAGGGUGGACGGUCACACUGGGACUGAGACACGGCCCAGACUCCUACGGGAGGCAGCAGUGGGGAAUAUUGCACAAUGGGCGCAAGCCUGAUGCAGCGACGCCGCGUGAGGGAUGGAGGCCUUCGGGUUGUGAACCUCUUUCGCCAGUGAAGCAGGCCUGCCUCGUUUGUGGGUGGGUUGACGGUAGCUGGAUAAGAAGCGCCGGCUAACUACGUG
rnacentral:rRNA from 1 species